rnacentral:sRNA from 21 species
AUGUCAUCCCGUGAGGUGACAAAGACGCAGUAUACGAAAUUCUUUAAGAAUGGAAUAGUUUUUUUAAAGAAGUCUUACUCAGAGAGCCUAUUGCUGUA